rnacentral:rRNA from 1 species
GACGAACGCUGGCGGCGUGCCUAAUACAUGCAAGUAGAACGCAGUUGCGAACGGGUGAGUAACGCGUAGGUAACUGCCUGGUAGCGGGGGAUAACUCUUGGAAACGAUAGCUAAUACCGCAUACUACCAGAUGGACCUGCGUUGUAUUGGCUAGUUGGUGAGGUAAUGGCUUACCUAGGCGACGAUCCCUAGCUGGUCUGAAAGGACGAUCAGCCACACUGGGACUGAGAAACGGCCCAGACUCCUACGGGAGGCAGCAGUGGGGAAUAUUGCACAAUGGGCGCAAGCCUGAUGCAGCCAUGCCGCGUGUAUGAAGAAGGCCCUAGGGUUGUAAAGUACUUUCAGUCGGGAGGCGUUACCGACAGAAGAAGCACCAGCUAACUCCGUGCCAGCAGACGCGGUAAUAC